rnacentral:rRNA from 1 species
GAUGAACGCUGGCGGCGUGCCUAAUACAUGCAAGUCGAGCGAAAGGACGAGACGCUUGCUUCUUUGAUGUUAGCGGCGGACGGGAGAGUCACACGUGGAUAACCUACUUAUAAGACUGGGAUCACUUCGGGACUCCGGAGCUUAUACCGGAUGAUAUCUUGCACCGUAUGGUUCAAUAGUGAAAGUCGGUCUUGGUGUCUCUUAUCGCUGCAUCCGAGCUGCAUUAGCUGGUUGGUAAGGUAACGGCUUAUCACGGCAACUAUGCAUAGCCGACCUGAGAGGGUGAUCGGCGACACUGGAACGGGGACGCGGUCCAGGCUCCUACGAGAGGCAGCAGUAGGGAAUCUGCCGCAAUAGGCGAAAACCUUACGGAGCAGCGCCGCGUGAGAGAUGAAAAUCUUCGGAGCGGGAAACUCGGUUAUUAGGUGAGAACAGAUUUGUAAGUAACUGUGCACAGCGUGACGGUACCUAGUCAGAAAGCCACGGCUAACUACGUG